rnacentral:rRNA from 1 species
AUUGAACGCUGGCGGCAUGCCUUACACAUGCAAGUCGAACGGCAGCACGGGAGCAAUCCUGGUGGCGAGUGGCGAACGGGUGAGUAAUAUAUCGGAACGUGCCCAGUCUGGGGGAUAACGUAGCGAAAGCUACGCUAAUACCGCAUACGAUCUAUGGAUGAAAGCGGGGGAUCGCAAGACCUCGCGCGAUUGGAGCGGCCGAUAUCAGAUUAGGUAGUUGGUGAGGUAAAGGCUCACCAAGCCGACGAUCUGUAGCUGGUCUGANAGGACGACCAGCCACACUGGGACUGA